GGGUCUGUGCUGCCUAGUAGCCUGAAGCAGGCUCUGCCCUGCGAUAAUCAGCUUAUUCUCCUCUCUGCCAUUCAGGCCCUCUCUGAUCACAAGGCUGCACACACUCUCUCUUCCUCUCUCGGUGGGGAGAGAAGGAGAUGGGAGGGCAUCUUUCUCUUCUUCUCGACCCCAGCCUGUGAUUUAGUUCACAAGUGCAAGUGCAGCGUCAGUCUCCACUUUCUCCUGGCAUUCUACAGCAUUUCCCAAAGGCCUGGGUCGAGCAUCCUGCCACUGCCCAAGCCAAAGGCAGAGUCCGGCUGCCGUCCUCUGUUCCUCCCACACCUGGGCAGGGAGGAAUUUUCUCAAAUUCUCACAAUGGUCCUGAGCCAUGGAUGGCAUCUCCCCAUUGUACAGAUGGGAAAAGUGAAGCAGAGGAUUGAGUGAUUUGCCUGUGGUCCCACCUUAGGAGAAAGUCAAAGCUGGGAUUUGAACCCAGAUCUGUGUGUCUGUUUCUCUCCUCUACGUGCACCGCACUGUCUCUCUGGGCCAGCAGGGUCAAAUUAGGCAGGACCUCCAAAGCGAAACAGUUUGGCGAGGGUGGCCACGUGACAUGAGUGAUUUCUCUGUGCCUGUCCACUCAUCUCUCAGAGGAGGUGGGUAGGCCAGCUCAGUGGUUCUCCAAUCUGGCUGGACAUUGCCCUCUCCUGCAAACUGGUCAGAAACAGAUUCUUGGGCGCCUCCCCAAGGUACCGAACCAGAAGACUCCAGAAGGGUCGGGUCCAGGAAUCUACAUUUCCAACAGUUCACAUAGUGAGCCUGAUGUGGCCACUCUGGCCUUCAAACACCUCUAGAAGAAAAUUUGAAGCACGGCUGACAGACAGGACAUCUCUCCGGCCUACAGGGCCUGAGAUGGCAUCCUCCAGGGCAGCCUGAACUUCACACUGUCCUCCCAUUGCCCUUCCAUUCUCAGUGGUGAUUCCAGAGGAAAGCAAGAUUUGGCCAGUGUGGCUUCUACAACCCUUAGCAGAAUAAAUAGGGCAAGUUUACAGAUCA
rnacentral:lncRNA from 1 species